UCAAUCUGUGGUUAGCACCGUAAUAUCAGGAUGCCAACCAAUAGUCACUGUUUAACAAAUGACGACAUUCUUCAGGCAUAAAAUAUUAUUGAAAUCUCACGUUAUUAAUGUAAAUUUUGGAAAAAAUUGGAAAGUAAAUAAGAGGCCAUUGAGAUUUCUGAAGAUAAUGAUUUUAUUUCAUUUUUCUGUAAAAGAAGCUCUAGCCAAGGUGAAGGAAAUGUUACAAUGCGUCAGUGGAAUGAUAUACUUGAAUAUUUUAUUGGAUUUUUCUUCUUGGCUAGUGCCAAGUAUGGAUCUAAUGCUUCCUAAUGGGGACCUAGUUCUUGUAAAGCUAGGUUGGUUGACCUAGUUCUUGUAAAGCUAGGUUGUUUGAC